UUAUGUUGCCCUACCAGUUUGUCAAAGACUGAUCUCAGAAGCUAAGCCGGGCUGGGCCUGGUUAGUACUUGGAUGGGAGACCAUUGGGAAUAUCAGGUGCCACAGUGG
rnacentral:rRNA from 1 species